CUGGGGACACUAGGCUGUACAGACUUUAGCAUGACAUGUAUGUGUUUUUUGCUUUUCUAUGUUAACAGUAAGAACCAAGAAAAAUCCAAUACAAAAUGUGAGCUUGAAUAUAAAAUGAAACUUAGAACUUGUUUGCAGUCAGGCCCUGAGAGAAAGUAACUGUAGAGUCAAAGGCCUUUCACUAGCUAUAUCCUAGCUUCAGCUCCUAAGAAAUCCAGCUAUAUUGCAUGCUGCAUCUGAGCUGUUCUCAACUAGUGGAAUGAAAGGUAAUAACUAGAUUGCUGCAAUAGCCAAGGUGUUUAUUAAUCUAAGACACUGUGAAAAAGCCUUCCACUCUGCCUUAAUCCCCCACACCCAAGAAUAUAUAGAUAUGUUGUACAUUUCAUCUUAAAACUUGCCAAUAAUUUACAGAAAACUUUGGCUUGUCAGAAUUAGGCAAAAAUUAUUAAAAAAUAUUAAAAACUCCUUUGUAUUACUCAUGUCCUAGAAACUGUCACCUUCCUUUGCCCCCACUCCCCCACCCCCGCACAUUUUCCACUUGAAGAGAAUUAAUAUCUCAUUUUCUGUCACCAGUGCAGUGAUGCUAGUCCUGACACUGCUGCUGGUGCUAUAAAAGCAGGUCAGUCUCUCUCAGGUUUGAGCGCCUAGUCUUUGGGAAGAGUAAGUAAAAGCACUCCUCUAAGUCUAGGUAAGGUCCUUCCUUCUCAUUUCACUUCUAAUUAGAAUUGCUACCAUCUCUCUUUCUUUUGUGAGGGCUGCAAAUCCAGUUGGGGAUCUGGCAAGCUGAUCUCUGACAAUAUCAAAUGCUCUAAGAACUCUUAAUCGAAGGCAGUCCAUGAAAGCACCCCGGGGAGUGCUUUAUUCUCUGUGUUUAAAAGGACAUGAAAGUACAAUAGUUCUCUUUAUACUUGUACAAAGCAGCCAAUUGAUCUUGUCAGUUUAAUAAAUAAUACAAUUGCUUCCAUCAGACACUGUUAAUAUAGUCCUGUCUGGACUAAUAUUGUACAGAAUUGUACAAGUAUAGAAAUGCUACCUACCUGUAUCUGCCCUGGAUUAACCACCUCUCCCACUUUAUCACCUAAAGGCAAAGCUUCCAGUAAUAGUCCCUGGAGGGCAUCAGGUCCCCAGAUCAUCUCUUUCUUCAUUUUAACAUAUGUUCUUGGAAGACACAAACUAAUUUCCUGAUGCAUCUGUUGUCUGGCUGGUUCCAUUUGUACAGAUAUAAAGAAGCUCAAGAAUGCAAAAUAGGCAGCAGGUUUGCUCCGCUUGAAUCAGACAGCAACAGACUUGUGUAUACAAUAUUGACAAGAAACACAGAGCAGCUGGGCUCUACCCCUGAGAACAGUGGAGCUGCAGAUGAAAACAUCUGAACCCUUCAGAAAAGGCUUUGGAUGAGGACUUUCCUGCGGGGAAAAAAUUUAUCAAUGGAGAGAUGAUGGCGACCAGACCUGGACAAAAAGCUCUAAUAAGAGCAAAAUGUGCUGUCUUCUAUAAAUGUCCUGAAGACUGUGAUUGCUGCUUGCCUGGCAGCUUCCAGGCAGUCACACAUCUCUUCUUGUCCACGCGCAGUGUUGUGGAAGGACUCCUCACCCUCUCCAGGAUCUUCUCUUGAGGGACCUGUGCCUUAUGGUCAACCAUGAAUGGACUUCGUCAGUGAGAGUGAGCAUGGCUUGGGGAGACCACUGUUGCUUUGCUGAGAUGCCUGCAGAAGGACAUUGUUUUGGAUAGGCAUGUGCUUGAAUAGAAGUCUGAUCCUAAAAGGUGUUGCCCUGCAAGAGUGUUGAUCCCAGGGAGUCUUCAGGUUCCGCAUGUUUUAAGUUGCUUUGACUAUUCACCUGUCUUGCUUAGGUAAUAGCUAUAAUAUUCCCCUAAAAUUUGGUCCAAGAUUAUAAACUCAAAACCCAGGGUGCUGUCACUAUACUAAUCUCUUUUUACACAGCUGUCAAUCCAACUUGUAGGCUGGUGCCUGCCCCAUGGUGCAGCCACUGUACACUCUUUCUGUGCACCACCACUUUCCAUCAUUAUCUCCUCUAAUCCUAAUACCCUACACAGUUCUGCUUACAACUUUCUACAGACCAAACCCACACCUUCCUCCUUAGUUUUCUAACACAGAUAAGCCACAGCAUCUGUUUACUGACCCAGUGGUACCCCCUGACAUCCCUCUCCUGGCCCCUGUGUUGGAAUGAGUCAUAAAAAUGCUGCUCAUUUCAUCUUUACUAGGCAUUUCGAAAAGGCUUGGAAAAUGAGAUGCUGUCUGUCUGAGGGUGUCUCAAAAUGCAUAGGCUCAGUUAACUAUGGAUUAAAAACCACCUGGAGGGCUUUUUUUUUUUUUUUUUUGAUCUGUGAAAAUUUAAAUUCAGCAGCCAGUGUUUCCUCUGCAACAGAGGAUGAAAUUACCACCUCUCGACUCCAAGCAAAAAAUCUGCUUUCCCUGAAUUCCUUACAGUGCUUUAGCUGUUAGUGAUUAACAGUGUCUGCCUUCAUUUCUACCUCUAUCAUCACAAUACUAGAUUUUGUACAUGUAUGAUAAGUGAUGCAGGUACACCACCUAUUGUUAAAGUGGACUAGCACUUCCAACAAUGAAAAUGCAUUCCAGCUGCUUAUAGUUUUGCAAAAUUGUAACUGUUUGGGUUGAAUCUCCCCAUCCAGAGUGUUUGCUUCAUACUGAUUAAUUUGUUUUAAAUUUCAGAAAAAUGAUUCAGCUGUUUUAUGACCAAGAUAAAGGAAACAUACUUACUGGGUUACAGCAGAGGUUUUUCCUUCUUGUGAAAGAAAUUCUGCCACCCACAUGCUUUGGACUUGAAACUUGUCUUGUCUCAGAUGUGUCUUCUGGUGUCAGGACUUGAAACUUGUCUUGUCUCAGAUGUGUCUUCUGGUGUCAGGCCGGCCUGUGCUAAGAGUCUGUGCAAAACAACUGCUGAAAUCUCAGUCUGUUUUGUUGCCUCUUGUUGUAGCCU